rnacentral:rRNA from 1 species
AAAUUGAAGAGUUUGAUCAUGGCUCAGAUUGAACGCUGGCGGCAGGCCUAACACAUGCAAGUCGAACGGUAGCACAGAGAGCUUGCUCUCGGGUGACGAGUGGCGGACGGGUGAGUAAUGUCUGGGAAACUGCCUGAUGGAGGGGGAUAACUACUGGAAACGGUGGCUAAUACCGCAUAACGUCGCAAGACCAAAGAGGGGGACCUUCGGGCCUCUUGCCAUCAGAUGUGCCCAGAUGGGAUUAGCUUGUUGGUGAGGUAACGGCUCACCAAGGCGACGAUCCCUAGCUGGUCUGAGAGGAUGACCAGCCACACUGGAACUGAGACACGGUCCAGACUCCUACGGGAGGCAGCAGUGGGGAAUAUUGCACAAUGGGCGCAAGCCUGAUGCAGCCAUGCCGCGUGUAUGAAGAAGGCCUUCGGGUUGUAAAGUACUUUCAGCGGGGAGGAAGGUGUUGUGGUUAAUAACCGCAGCAAUUGACGUUACCCGCAGAAGAAGCACCGGCUAACUCCGUGCCAGCAGCCGCGGUAAUACGGAGGGUGCAAGCGUUAAUCGGAAUUACUGGGCGUAAAGCGCACGCAGGCGGUCUGUCAAGUCGGAUGUGAAAUCCCCGGGCUCAACCUGGGAACUGCAUUCGAAACUGGCAGGCUUGAGUCUUGUAGAGGGGGGUAGAAUUCCAGGUGUAGCGGUGAAAUGCGUAGAGAUCUGGAGGAAUACCGGUGGCGAAGGCGGCCCCCUGGACAAAGACUGACGCUCAGGUGCGAAAGCGUGGGGAGCAAACAGGAUUAGAUACCCUGGUAGUCCACGCCGUAAACGAUGUCUACUUGGAGGUUGUGCCCUUGAGGCGUGGCUUCCGGAGCUAACGCGUUAAGUAGACCGCCUGGGGAGUACGGCCGCAAGGUUAAAACUCAAAUGAAUUGACGGGGGCCCGCACAAGCGGUGGAGCAUGUGGUUUAAUUCGAUGCAACGCGAAGAACCUUACCUGGUCUUGACAUCCACAGAAGAAUCCAGAGAUGGAUUUGUGCCUUCGGGAACUGUGAGACAGGUGCUGCAUGGCUGUCGUCAGCUCGUGUUGUGAAAUGUUGGGUUAAGUCCCGCAACGAGCGCAACCCUUAUCCUUUGUUGCCAGCGGUUAGGCCGGGAACUCAAAGGAGACUGCCAGUGAUAAACUGGAGGAAGGUGGGGAUGACGUCAAGUCAUCAUGGCCCUUACGACCAGGGCUACACACGUGCUACAAUGGCGCAUACAAAGAGAAGCGACCUCGCGAGAGCAAGCGGACCUCAUAAAGUGCGUCGUAGUCCGGAUUGGAGUCUGCAACUCGACUCCAUGAAGUCGGAAUCGCUAGUAAUCGUGGAUCAGAAUGCCACGGUGAAUACGUUCCCGGGCCUUGUACACACCGCCCGUCACACCAUGGGAGUGGGUUGCAAAAGAAGUAGGUAGCUUAACCUUCGGGAGGGCGCUUACCACUUUGUGAUUCAUGACUGGGGUGAAGUCGUAACAAGGUAACCGUAGGGGAACCUGCGGUUGGAUCACCUCCUUACCUUAAAGAA